rnacentral:rRNA from 1 species
UACAGGGGGGGCAAGCGUUGUCCGGAAUUACUGGGCGUACAGCGCGCGCAGGCGGUCCACUACGUGCCGUGUGACAGACGUCGGCUUAACCGACGUAGGCCAGGGUACACGGGUGAACUUGAGGCAGAGAGAGGGAUGUGGAAUACCCGGUGGAGCGGUGAAAUGCGUAGAUAUCUGGAGGAACACCGGUGGCGAAGGCGGCGUUCUGGACUGCAACUGACACUGAGGAACGAAAGCCAGGGGAGCAAACGGG